rnacentral:rRNA from 1 species
GAUGAACGCUGGCGGCGUGCCUAAUACAUGCAAGUCGAGCGAACGGACGAGAAGCUUGCUUCUCUGAUGUUAGCGGCGGACGGGUGAGUAACACGUGGUUAACCUACCUAUAAGACUGGGAUAACUUCGGGAAACCGGAGCUAAUACCGGAUAAUAUUUUGAACCGCAUGGUUCAAAAGUGAAAGACGGUCUUGCUGUCACUUAUAGAUGGAUCCGCGCUGCAUUAGCUAGUUGGUAAGGUAACGGCUUACCAAGGCAACGAUGCAUAGCCGACCUGAGAGGGUGAUCGGCCACACUGGAACUGAGACACGGUCCAGACUCCUACGGGAGGCAGCAGUAGGGAAUCUUCCGCAAUGGGCGAAAGCCUGACGGAGCAACGCCGCGUGAGUGAUGAAGGUCUUCGAAUCGUAAAACUCUGUUAUUAGGGAAGAACAUAUGUGUAAGUAACUGUGCACAUCUUGACGGUACCUAAUCAGAAAGCCACGGCUAACUACGUGCCAGCAGCCGCGGUAAUACGUAGGUGGCAAGCGUUAUCCGGAAUUAUUGGGCGUAAAGCGCGCGUAGGCGGUUUUUUAAGUCUGAUGUGAAAGCCCACGGCUCAACCGUGGAGGGUCAUUGGAAACUGGAAAACUUGAGUGCAGAAGAGGAAAGUGGAAUUCCAUGUGUAGCGGUGAAAUGCGCAGAGAUAUGGAGGAACACCAGUGGCGAAGGCGACUUUCUGGUCUGUAACUGACGCUGAUGUGCGAAAGCGUGGGGAUCAAACAGGAUUAGAUACCCUGGUAGUCCACGCCGUAAACGAUGAGUGCUAAGUGUUAGGGGGUUUCCGCCCCUUAGUGCUGCAGCUAACGCAUUAAGCACUCCGCCUGGGGAGUACGACCGCAAGGUUGAAACUCAAAGGAAUUGACGGGGACCCGCACAAGCGGUGGAGCAUGUGGUUUAAUUCGAAGCAACGCGAAGAACCUUACCAAAUCUUGACAUCCUUUGACAACUCUAGAGAUAGAGCUUUCCCCUUCGGGGGACAAAGUGACAGGUGGUGCAUGGUUGUCGUCAGCUCGUGUCGUGAGAUGUUGGGUUAAGUCCCGCAACGAGCGCAACCCUUAAGCUUAGUUGCCAUCAUUAAGUUGGGCACUCUAAGUUGACUGCCGGUGACAAACCGGAGGAAGGUGGGGAUGACGUCAAAUCAUCAUGCCCCUUAUGAUUUGGGCUACACACGUGCUACAAUGGACAAUACAAAGGGCAGCGAAACCGCGAGGUCAAGCAAAUCCCAUAAAGUUGUUCUCAGUUCGGAUUGUAGUCUGCAACUCGACUACAUGAAGCUGGAAUCGCUAGUAAUCGUAGAUCAGCAUGCUACGGUGAAUACGUUCCCGGGUCU